UACAGAGGGUGCAAGCGUUAAUCGGAGUUACUGGGCGUAAAGGGCGCGUAGGUUGUUAUACAAGUGAGAUGUGAAAGCCCUGGGCUUAACCUAGGAAUUGCAUUUUAGACUGUAUAGCUAGAGUACAGUAGAGGGUAGUGGAAUUUCCGGUGUAGCGGUGAAAUGCGUAGAGAUCGGAAGGAACACCAGUGGCGAAGGCGACUACCUGGACUGACACUGACACUGAGGCGCGAGAGCGUGGGGAGCAAACAGG
rnacentral:rRNA from 1 species